rnacentral:rRNA from 1 species
UGGGGAAUAUUGGACAAUGGGCGAAAGCCUGAUCCAGCCAUGCCGCGUGUGUGAAGAAGGUCUUCGGAUUGUAAAGCACUUUAAGUUGGGAGGAAGGGCAGUAAGCGAAUACCUUGCUGUUUUGACGUUACCGACAGAAUAAGCACCGGCUAACUCUGUGCCAGCAGCCGCGGUAAUACAGAGGGUGCAAGCGUUAAUCGGAAUUACUGGGCGUAAAGCGCGCGUAGGUGGUUCGUUAAGUUGAAUGUGAAAGCCCCGGGCUCAACCUGGGAACUGCAUCCAAAACUGGCGAGCUAGAGUAGGGCAGAGGGUGGUGGAAUUUCCUGUGUAGCGGUGAAAUGCGUAGAUAUAGGUAGGAACACCAGUGGCGAAGGCGACCACCUGGGCUCAUACUGACACUGAGGUGCGAAAGCGUGGGGAGCAAACAGG